rnacentral:sRNA from 1 species
CCGUACACUUCAUUGGGGAGUAGCCGCUGUUUACGCAGGUAAACAGGUGAUGAUCAACAUAAUUGCUCAACAGAGCGUGGUCAUCAUAGCAAAGUUCAAUGGUGCUUAGAAAUAAGCUAUCUUUUGUUGGCAAGACCUUUGAU